AGUGAACGCUGGCGGCGUGCCUAACACAUGCAAGUCGAACGAUGAUAGAGAGCUUGCUCUCUUGAUUAGUGGCGCACGGGUGAGUAUACCAUAGAUAAUGUACCUCUUAGUUCGGGAUAGCCACUGGAAACGGUGAUUAAUACCGGAUACUCCUUCUUACUCUAAGGUAAGUCGGGAAAGUUUUUUCGCUAAGAGAUCAGUCUAUGUCCUAUCAGCUAGUUGGUGAGGUAAUGGCUCACCAAGGCUAUGACGGGUAUCUGGUUUGAGAGGAUGAUCAGACACACUGGAACUGAGACACGGUCCAGACUCCUACGGGAGGCAGCAGUGAGGAAUAUUGCACAAUGGAGGAAACUCUGAUGCAGCAACGCCGCGUGGAGGAUGACGCAUUUCGGUGUGUAAACUCCUUUUAAGAGGGAAGAUAAUGACGGUACCUCUUGAAUAAGCACCGGCUAACUCCGUGCCAGCAGCCGCGGUAAUACGGAGGGUGCAAGCGUUACUCGGAAUCACUGGGCGUAAAGGGUGCGUAGGCUGGCUUCUAAGUCAGAUGUGAAAUCCAAUGGCUUAACCAUUGAACUGCAUUUGAAACUGGGAGCCUAGAGUUCAGAAGGGGCAGAUGGAAUUAGUGGUGUAGGGGUAAAAUCCGUAGAUAUCACUAGGAAUAUCAAAAGCGAAGGCGAUCUGCUGGGAUGAUACUGACGCUGAGGCACGAAAGCGUGGGGAGCAAACA
rnacentral:rRNA from 1 species